AGUAAAUCCUGUAAAUAAGUAUGCAUAGAUUAUGUUUAAGUUCUGAGCCUUUCACUGUUACCAAACUAAACAAAUAGCAGUGUGGUUUGUCUAAAUAAUACAGUGAGACAGUUGUAUUGCGUGAUUUAAACUCUUGUUUGGAUUACUAUGCACUGAUUGUAGUAGGGAAUUUGCUAGGCAUUGUGCAAGGUUUGGUAGAUUCAGGAAGUUGCAUAAAUGUUUACUUGUCACAUCGUCAUCAUGGGAAUUUACUGGACCAAGCCGGUUUACUCACAUCCAUCCAGUAUUUAAGAGACGGUACCACAGAUGCCUUAGUAAAUACAGACUGUGACAUUGUAAUAACUGGACAAGACAUCUAUUCAAGGUAAACCAUUCAUCUCCGUUUUAUAUUAUGUUAUGUUAUUUUUAUGACUUUGUAUCUCUUUGUAUCUGUAUCUUUAUUAGAGGUAACUUAAUAAUCAAUUAAUAAAAGCAAGCUUCUAAAUACAGUUUUAAUCUAUGGUAAACAUAAUUUCAGUUAACCAGAGAAUAAUAAUUUUACAUUAGGUUCUUUUUUUUCAGGAUGAAGACAUUACGUGCAAUGCUACUGAUGCUGUUUGUUGCAUCAGUCUUUUCAAAACCAUUUGGUUUGCGCAGAAGAUUUGAUUCAUCGGACUCUGUGCGAUCUAGAUUCAGUUCAGAGGGAAAUGAUUCACAGUCUGAUGAGAAUUCUGAAUCAAACGGGUGUAAAUCAAGUGAUUCUGAAUCUUCGGAGGAAGUUAUCAGCGUUGUGUCAAGCACAUUCCCUCCAGCUAGCACAACAAGUCCAUUGACUGCUGGCAAGACAACAACAACACCACCAGCUACCACAACACAAGCCAUCACACAAUGUGUUACUGAAAGAAGGGGUGAUAAUAGUGUUGUUAUAAUAUCUUGUAGUACUUCUCCAUAA
rnacentral:lncRNA from 1 species